AACUGAAAAUUAUCAAAAUGAAACACAGAAAAUAAUCAAAAUUGAGUUUUACACAAAGCAAGCUAUUAGCAUCUAGUUACAGGGCAUCUGUCAGUCGACCACUCUCGAUAUAAGCGCGCUGACUUGCUGGUGUAGUUGUCGUUGUUGUUGUUGAUUUUGUCAUCAUCACGAAACACAUUGAACAUCAAGCGCUGAGCACUGGACAUUGUCAUUGCAUUUCGCAGCAGCCGAGCAGUCCUGCAAUAGUACGAAAGGCACUUGCCAGCUGCAGCGCAUUAGUGGCCACUUUAACAAUGACCGGCAGAGGCCAAUUUUUAUUGAAUCGAGGCGUCAUCCGACUCAAGUGUCCCAGUUUGAAUGACGGCUUAUGCCCUGCAGCUGAAGCUGGAGCUGGAGCUGGUCCAGGAUCUGGCCUGUUGUGACAGUGAUAAGCUCCGCUUUCAGCUCUCACUUGUGGGCGGUUUUUUAAAUGAGACCAGGAGAGCUUAUAGGUGCACAUGGCGUAUACGCAACGUAAUAUGCAAGUGCUUUGUCUCAACUCAAGUGCAUGCAACAAACUCUGCUCCAUCAAUUUAUUAUGUCUUACAACUGCCAAAUGCCAAUUUGACUGCUUGAGAUCAUUUUGUACGUUCAUGCGGGCCUUUAACAUGGGUUUGCAUUUAAAAUUCAUUCAGAAACUAAAUUGUUUUUAUAUUUUUGAGAAAAUAUGGCUAUGCCUCA